GCCAGAGUGAAGCAUAGACUCACCAUUAAGAAGAAAGUGAAAGAACUGUAGGGUCAAUAUUGGAUCUGUCACACACAUGUUGAAAUGAUGUAAUUUUAGGGUUGUUUGUGCAGAGGGUGAGUGUAAGUGGAGUGGUAUCUUCAGUAAUGUGGCACUGAGAUCAAAUAACGUCAGCAAAACAGAAGCACAAGUGUCAAAUCACUUCAUUGGAUCUCCUAAAGGAGCCAGGAUCUUGUGAGAUGGAAAGGGGCCAGGAGAAGUGAUCUGGAAGAAUCCAUGAGGAACAGAAGGGUAGGGAAAGAUGGAUGGAAGCCUCAGGAACAGCGAAGAUGGGAGAAAAAUAUACUUGAAAAGGAUGCAAGGAAAGUGACCCUGACAGCAGCUGAGUCAAACCACAAGAUUUCUGACAGCCGCCUCAGGCCAUGAAACUCUAGAAGAUAGUGAACGUGAUCCUUCAUGUCUUGGGCCAUUUCUGGCAGUUGAGACCGCCCCAUCCCCACCCCCAUCAUCUCAUCACACCUUGGCUCAGUUGUAAUUGAAAGUUCCAGGGUACCACUUUGCCUUCGUUAAAUUUUUUUUUUUUGGGGGGGGGGCUGGUCUCUGAUGUAACUCAUGUAGCUCUACAAUAGAGUAGUCGGUCAGUUAGCUCAUGGGCAUCAUUGUAGGCCCAUGAUCACAGUUUCCUAGGUUUUAUGUCAGUUUCUGAUCAAGCUUCCCACAGUAUCUGAGAGAGCUCUUAGCAAAAGAAAAAAUGCUACAUUUUUAUUAAUUACAAGAAUGUGGAAAAAUCAAUCUUUAAACUCUACACUGAAAGAGAGAGAGAGAAAGAGAGAGAGAGAGAGAGAGAGAGAGAGAGACAGAGGGAGAGAGACAGAGACAGAGACAGAGACAGAGACAGAGAUAAUAAGAGAGACCGAGAAAGAAUGAAAGAGAGAAAGAAGAACACACAAAAUUAAUUUGUAGAAAUUAUGAAUUUAUGGUGCUUCAGCUCCAGAGUAGAUGGAUUCAGAAUUAGCAGGUUGCUUUCCUUAGGGGUUAUUAAUAUAAAUUUCAGCCAGUCCUAUGUGCUUUCAUUAUAGUCUAACACUUGCUGCCUGCACCUUUUCCGUGGAGGAGUAUUGAAUAUUUUCUUCAGCGUGUACAUAAUCUCUUGCAUCCUUAAGGUGGCAGUAGCAAUCAAAACAAUAUUUAAAGAAAAAUAUUUGAAAGAGUGGAGAAGUGGGAAGAAAAGAGAAACCAAUUGUUGCUGAAAUAUCCUAUAAUCUUCCAUUUCUCUGCUCAGCAGAAUUAUAUCCCUUGCUAGAUUUAUUCAUUAUUAAGAGCUUAUUCAGCCUACAGAUGGUGUGUCACUAGAUUAGGACGUGAAGAAGAUUAGCUUCUCACUGUGUUAGCUGGAAAUAAAUUCUUUAUCUGAUCAUUAAAUCAGUUGUUCAUGUUUUUUUUAAUCAUAAUUAUUAC
rnacentral:lncRNA from 1 species